rnacentral:rRNA from 1 species
GGUUCGGAUUAUGGCUCAGAUUGAACGCUGGCGGAUGCUUUACACAUGCAAAUGAAGGGUUGCAUCGACUUCGGUCUGGUGGCGAGUGGCGAAUGAAGGAGUAAAUUACCGGAACGUGCCUAGUAGCGGGGGAUAACUACGCGCGAAAGCGUAGCUAAUACCGCAUACGCCCUUCGGGGAAAGCGGGGGACCUUCGGCCUCGCACUGCUGGGGGAGCGGCCGAUAUCGGAUUAGUUAGUUAUGGGGUAACGGCUCACCAAGGCGGACAUCCGUAGCUGGUUUGAGAGGACGACCACACUGGGACUGAGACACGGCCCAGACUCCUACGGAGGCAGCAGUGGGGGAAUUCUGACAAUGGGGGAAACUUCUGAUCCAGCCAUCCCGCGUGUGCGAUGAAGGCCUUCGGUUGUAAAGCACUUUUGGCAGGAAAGAAACGGCACGGAUAAUACCCCGUGCAACUGACGGUACCUGCAGAGCUAAGCACUUACGCCAACUACGCUACAGCAGCCGCGGUAAUACGUAGGUGCAAGCGUUAAUCGGAAUUACUGGGCGCAAAGCGUGCGUAAGGGGCGGUCUGGUGCAAAGAUGUGAAAUCCCAGAGCUUAACUUUGAACUGCAUUUUUAACUACCGAGCAGAGUGUGUCAGAGGAGUGUGGAAUUCCGCGUGUAGCAGUGAAAUGGUGUAGAUAUGCGGGGAGAACAACGAUGGCGGAAGGGCAGCCUCCUGGGAUAACACUGACGCUCAUGCACGAAAGCGUGGGGAGCAAACAGGAUUAGAUACUCCUGGUAGUCCACGCCUCUAAACGAUGUCAACUAGCUGUUAGCCUUCGGGCCUUAUAGCGCAGCUAACGCGUGAAGUUGACCGUCUGGGGAGCACGGUCGCAAGAUUAAAACUCAAAGGAAUUGACGGGGACUCAACAAGCGGUGGAUGAUGUGGAUUAAUUCGAUGUAACGAAAAACCUUACUCUACUCUUGACAUGCAGUUUGGAAUCCCGAAGAGAUUUGGGAGUGCUCGCAAGAGAACCGGAACAUGGGUGCUGCAUGGCUGUCGUCAGCUCGUGUCGUGAGAUGUUGGGUUAAGUCCCGCAACGAGCGCAACCCUUGUCAUUAGUUGCUACGAAAGGGGCAAUUUCCACGAGACUGCUAUAGAUAAACGAGGUGGAAGGCAGAUGACGUCAAGUCCUCAUGGCCCUUAUGGGUAGGGCUUCACACGUCAUACAAUGGUCGGGACAGAGGGUCGCCAACCCGCGAGGGGGAGCCAACUUGCGAAACUCGACGCAGUCCGACAGUAGUCGGCAACUCGACCUGCGUGAAGUCGGAAUCGCCAGCAAUCGCGGAUCAGCAUGUCGCGGUGAAUACGUUCCCGGGUCUUGUACACACCGCCCGUCACACCAUGGGAGUGGGUUUUACCAGAAGUAGUUAGCCUAACCGUAAGGAGGGCGAUUACCACGGUAGGAUUCAUGACUGGGGUGAAGUCGUAACAAGGUA